UUACGAUUGACGACGAAUUAAUUAACUCUCGGUUGUUGGCCAAUUUGUAUGCCGUCGCUGUUAAACUAUUUUCAGUCAAUAUUUCCAUGAGGAGGAUCGCGUUUGUUGUAAACAUUCAUCUACCAAGGUCUCCUUCCAGCAUCGCGAAAACACAGGAGAAAAAGAGAGAAAAUAAGGAAGAAGAAGAGAGAAGAUUCGUCCCCCAGUUUUCCAUCAACUGUCGAAGCGUUCAAACAAGAUGCUUCAUAUCGAGGAUGCUCAACUGUAUGCGGACCUCUUACAACGAAUUGCAAAGCAUAUUACUGCUCGGGAAGAUUGAGCAAUGGGAAGCCAUAAAUGACAAGGAGUUUCAGACGACGAACGAAGGUGAGAGCUUUGAUUAUUUCUCGAAGGAAGGCGAGAAAUAUCUGAGCAUGGCGCAUAAUUUACGUGAGAAGAACUCCAAGCUAUUUCCGCGUGUACUGAAGGCGCUGGACAAUUUCACAAGGCUAAACGCCUUUGCUAAAAGCACAAACUUACAAGAUGUCGCCUCUUUGUACCGAUACGAGUAUUUCUUGGAAAAGCUUUUUGCUUGGAAAGCCGCGGAGGACAAGCGCAAAUAUACAAGAUAUUGUAAAAGUUGUGGAGGUUGUGAAUGUUGUGGAAGAACAGAACACGAAGAAAUUGUGGAAAACAAGAACGAACAUGAAAUUAUGAACGACGAGAAGGAAUGUGACGAAGAAAUUAGGCAGAACAAGAAUAAAUAUAACAAAAAAAUUGCGAAAAACAAAAACAAAUAUGUCAACGGAAUUUUGUUAGAAAGGGAAUACGAUACAGUGAUGGAAUAUGAAGAUAUAGUCUUCAUGUUCCGAGAGGCAGAAGAAAAAAGCGCUUAUGGAUACGACUAUGCGUAUAGUUUCCUCAAGGAUUACUGUGUUAUGUUCAUGUUUUUCCGUCAACUGGAAAACUUCAGGAUGCUAGUCGCGAUGAUUCAAAACCUGUAUGUCGAAUACAAAAGGUGUUGCCUGUUAUUGCAUAACCUGAUGGCAAAUUACUGUCUGAAAGCGAACAGUUUUUUGCGCGCGCAACUCCGGAGCUCGAGAAAGCUUCGGCGAAGUAAGGAGCAUAGCAUGCGAUGUAAAUACAGAUACCUAAAGCAGUUGAUAGCACGCAUUAUCGAGCAAAAUGAAACAAGUAACGCUUGAUUAUUAGCAAUUUUAAACACAUAAGUUAUAAAGAGAUUACGAAAGAUAUAAGUUAUAAGGAGCGAAACGACAUGGCAAGGUACAUAGGAACUGCGAGUGAUCGUCGUUCUGAAGCAAAUGCGAAAUAAAGAUGUGAUCAAACGAUUGACGACAUCACGUUUCUUGCUAAAUGAAUCUUUCGUUGACGAAGUGAUUUUUUACGUGUCUCUUUAUAUAUUCAUUUUGCCCGAAGACAAGAAAGAAGUAUAUGAAACUCGGUUUGUCCGUCAGUGUGUUUUGCAUUUUUAAGUAUAUAUGUUUAACAAUAUUUA